UCUGCCUUUUCUUUUUCCUAAUUUCUAACCUUAAGACAGCCGUAUCUUAUCUCCCACCGCUCUUACUCAAACUUCCUGUGCCUUCCUUCUUUCCCCUUUCCUCUCCCUUGCCCUAUCUGUAUCCCUCCAUUACUCCCUUUCCUCCUUCCCUUACUGUAUCAUCAGAAGAUUUUAGAAACCUUUCUCUUCAGCAUCAUUCCCAUUUGCAGAUGCCAUUUCGGCUUUCCUCUCAUCAAGAAUUCGUUGCAUAACUCUGAAUUGUUUUUCCUUCUCUGCUCGUUUUCCAGCAGUUUCUCCUCAGAAUUUCUCAUUCCUCUUUUCCUUGUAGUGGUCGUCUGUCCACUUGGCAAGUUCUGGCUUUUUUCUAUUGGCAGAGAUGACCAGUGGGAUGCUGCUUGUGGAUUUCUCAGUAUCUGAUCUCAUCAAUUUUUUGGGUUUUCUUUUAUAGUGGUGCUGCAAUUGGACAUUUCUUUGGUUCUUUUCCCUGACACGUUUGUCUCAUCAAUUUAUUGGAAAUGGUUCAGAAUUCCAUGUUCAAGAUGGAAAAAAACUACUUGAUUACGUGGCUGAACAUAUUCAAUGGGCGAGUUUGUGAAUUCUCAUUAUUUAGAAUUGACCAUUCUUAAUGAUUGUUUCUCAACCAUAUACUUUUUAUUUGCUUUAAUCUGAAUCAGAUAGAGUUGUCAUGGUCUUAGUUUUAUCUGUCAUUUGGUAUGGUUAGUGGAGAUGGUUUGUUUGACCUUCAAGAGUGUUUAAAGAAGUCCUAUGUUUUUUAUAAAGUCGCUAUGUAUUUCCACUAUAAUUUGUAAAUUAGUUGUUAAAUAUAUGGUCAGUGUUUUAUAUCUUGUUGUAGCGAUUGGUUGGUUUUUUUAUGAAUGUCUCAUGGAGUUUGUGCCAUGACCAAACAUAUGUAGUUGACCACCUUGCUUAUGAAAGAGAGUGGUGUUUGCUACAUAUAAAGUAAAAGAACCUUUUGAGCAUCCAAAGAGGUUUUGAUUUUUUAAUGAUAGAACAAGGAUUUGCUUAAUAUGAAUUAACAAUUCUAUGCUGUACCAGAGCUUGAACAACAUCUUCCUUAAAUUGAUGACUUGAAAUUCUGUCUAGGGAUUUUAUUAGCUAGAGACUAUGCAAGAGCUCUUGCAUGAAAUUUCAUUUGUGUUAAGAUUGGUAAAAUCACGUAGGACACUACAAAUUUGACUACAUUUAUGGCACAUAUCUUAUCCAAUUACUGUUUCAAUAUUUGUAGAAAUUUUACACUGUCUUUAAAUUGUUUUUCAGUAGUCUAUGAUGCAAGAGGAGGAUUCCUAAAACUGAUGUAAAUUACAGCUCCAGUAGCUAUUAGCUGUUGAGGAGUUAGGUCUAUCUUUGCAAAUGCUAAUAUCAUCAAAGAAUGGAAGCAAGAGGUAGAGCAAUACCAAAGAAAAAUUCAGUUGGUGUGGACAGUAAUACUAUGAAGCGUGAGAAACUUGAUGCAGUUAACUACCUGUGCUGAAUAUCGCUGGAGGUUAUUUGUAGUCAUGAAAUCCCCAUCAGUAGCUUCAAAAUGUUAGUGUAAUACAGAUCUCAUCAUUGGGAGUUAUUGAGAAUUGUAACGAUACAAGUACUGGCAGUUCGAAUAUUAUUACAUUAGAUUGGCAUAGUUGGGUGCCUUAUUUGCUUUACUGUUUGCACUUGAGAAAUUAGAAAGUUUUUGGUAUUUUGCUUUAAUGUUAAGUAUGAUACAUCUCGAGUUGUUGGUUA